rnacentral:misc_RNA from 1 species
AUGAAAUCUCAGUGGGGAGCGCUGUAGCUGGCCUUUCGGGGCAUGUGCACGCCUCUUCACAAAUCCAAUCACACCUGUGCACCUUCGCGUGGGCUCUCGGUCUGGUAUCCUAAACCUAGCCGGCUCACGUCCUUCUUAACACACCCUUUGUAUGUCUCAUGAAUGUCUAGUGAUGUUAUAAACGCAUCUAAUA